ACUCAAAUGAAUAGACGGGGGCCCGCACAAGCGGUGGAGCAUGUGGUUUAAUUCGACGCAACGCGCAGAACCUUACCAGGGUUUGACAUCCUGUGCUACGUGCAGAGAUGCACGGUCCCCGCAAGGGGCGCAGAGACAGGUGCUGCAUGGCUGUCGUCAGCUCGUGUCGUGAGAUGUUGGGUUAAGUCCCGCAACGAGCGCAACCCUCGCCUUUAGUUGCCAUCAUUAAGUUGGGCACUCUAGAGGGACCGCCGGCGACAAGCCGGAGGAAGGUGGGGAUGACGUCAAGUCCUCAUGGCCCUUACACCCUGGGCUACACACGUGCUACAAUGGCGGUGACAGUGGGCAGCGACCACGCGAGUGGAUGCGAAUCCCAAAAAACCGUCCCAGUUCAGAUUGCACUCUGCAACUCGGGUGCAUGAAGGUGGAAUCGCUAGUAAUCGCAGAACAGCAGGCUGCGGUGAAUACGUUCCCGGGCCUUGUACACACCGCCCGU
rnacentral:rRNA from 1 species